AUGUGACUGACUUUUACGUUAUAAUGACGAUCACACACUAGGAAUGUUAUAAAGCGCCUAUAUAGGACAGUUUCUUUUGUAUAUUAUCUGACUUUAUAAACAACAAUGUGCUUCUAUUUUUUUUCAGGCUAAAUCUACCCAAGACACUGGCUGUCAGACUGAUUUAGUAGUCUGCAAGAAUGCACUUGUCCAGGCUGACGUGAAAAGCCUUACCCGUAGCAAAGCCACCCAGUUUAGAGCUCCCAGCCUCAGUGUGUCUUGUGACACAGGGACCAUGACGGAAAUUCAUCUUCCAGAAAGUCCCAGAGCAGCGUCCACACCCCCUGAAAAGACCAAGAUGUGAGGUGUCUGCUGUUGAUUCCAGCUUCCACCUCAGUGACAGUGCAAGCUCAGUGAACUGUUCAAGGAGGCUACUGAUUCUGCCCCUGUGACACUUGGUGGUGACGUGUGAGCUGAUUCACCUGGACACUCAGCAAAAUAUGGACUCUACACCAUGAGGCAGGCACACGUUAAUACUCUAAGAGCACAUAAGCAUGAGGAUGUCCUCACACACCUGUAACCUAUCAGCUCAUCUGGCAGAAUAGAGAGAGAAGAGACAACACCACAUCUCCUGUUCCUGGAAAGCUUUCAGCCAUCCUUCGUUGACUGAGAACCUCCAUCAGCUCUGUCUCCUGUCUGCCUACAAUUAUUAUAAUAAAUAUUGUAUUUGACAAGUUUUUUGUGCUGCCAAAUAUCUCAUUUUGAUUCCAG